GCUUACGGCCAUACCAGCCUGGGUACGCCCGAUCUCGUCUGAUCUCGGAAGCUAAGCAGGGUCGGGCCUGGUUAGUACUUUGAUGGGAGACCGCCUGGGAAUACCAGGUGCUGUAAGCA
rnacentral:rRNA from 1 species